GCAUAUCAAAGAACCCCAAUUAUUCAAUUUUUGAUGAAAUCAAACAAAGUUUAAUUUUGGGACCCUUUGGGCCCCUUAUUCCUAAACUGUGGGGACCAAAACUCCCAAAAUCAAUCCCAACCUUCCUUUUAUGGUCAUAAACCUUGUGUCAAAAUUUCAUAGAUUUCUAUUUACUUAUACUAAAGUUAUGGUGCGAAAACCAAGAAAAAUGCUUAUUUGGGCCCCUUUUUGGCCCCUAAUUCCUAAACUGUUCGGACCUUAACUCCCAAAAUCAAUCCCAACCUUCCUUUUGUGGUCAUAAACCUUGUGUUUAAAUUUCAUUGAUUUCUAUUAAUUUGUACUAAAGUUAUUGUGCGAAAACCAAGAAUAAUGCUUAUUUGGGCCCUUUUUUGGCCCCUCAUUCCUAAAAUGUUGGGACCAAAACUCCCAAAACCAAUCUCAACCUUCCUUUUGUGGUCAUAAACCUUGUGUUAAAAUUUAGAGUUAGAAUUCUAAAGUUAGAGUGCGAAAACUCUGGACGCAGACGACGACGCCAACGUGAUACCAAUAUACGACCAAAAAAUUUUCAAUUUUUGAGGUCGUAUAAAAAAGAAAUAUCAGUUAGAUAUCUAUUGGGAAUUAGGAAUUUUAACUUUAUGUCUUCAGGAUUAACAUAAAAUAUAAACAUUUAGAUAAAUUCUGGACCAACUUGUUCAGUAGUAACUUGCAAGGGGUAUGACAUAAUGUAUGGAGUCUAACUGCUUUUAUCCAUAAACAAAUUCAAUUAAGGCUGGACUUUAUAUCUCCCAUAAGCCCCUUGUAUUAGUACAAUACCCAAUGUUGUUGUUUCCACAUGGUUAAAUAUAAAACAAUUUACAAGUUAACCAUUAAGCAUGCUUGUAUUAUAUAGGAUGCUUAACAAACCCACUUUCACUCUUACAUAAAUAAAUAAAAAACCUCAAUCAAAAGUCUUUAAUAAGAGUAUCAUCAGAUCUUUACAUUUUGAAUUGCAUAUAUUUCUCAAGACCAUGAAGCAUUUCAGAAACCGAAUUACAAAUACAUUCCAGUCAUAUAAAUUAGAUUUUUUACGUAAAUGUCUGUAAAAAAUGUCAACUUAAAUUUAUAUCCUUCCCAGUAUUUGUGAGAUAUCAAGCAAUUCCUUAGUGAUAUCAUAUACCUAUGUGUAAACAAGGAUCCUGGUGUUAUCAUAUAUCUAUAUGUAUAAGAGAAUAUCACUUAAAAGUGCAGUGCAAAUAAAGAAAUAGUGAACAAGUAAGAUCUUGAAUAAAUAAUAGCACAGUGUUCAUUGCUAAGCUUAUGCAGUAUUAACAGUACUUAAUUCUAUAACUCAAAAUAUCACAAGACACUUGAGCAAACAUUUUCAAUCAGAAGCCAUUUUAUAAAAAUAUAUUUAGACCAGGCGUGGUAAUUACCUUUCAUUUAAGAUCACAUUAAAAUAAUAUCUUCUCUUAACGAUUUUAAAAUAU
rnacentral:lncRNA from 1 species